rnacentral:misc_RNA from 1 species
GAAAUGCGAUAACUAGUGUGAAUUGCAGAAUUCCGUGAAUCAUCGAGUCUUUGAACGCACAUUGCGCCCCCUGGUAUUCCGGGGGGCAUGCCUGUCCGAGCGUCAUUGCUGCCCAUCAAGCACGGCUUGUGUGUUGGGUCGUCGUCCCCUCUCCGGGGGGGACGGACCCCAAAGGCAGCGGCGGCACCGCGUCCGAUCCUCGAGCGUAUGGGGCUUUGUCACCCGCUCUGUAGGCCCGGCCGGCGCUUGCCGAACGCAAAUCAAUCUUUUUCCAGGUUGACCUCGGAUCAGGUAGGGAUACCCGCUGAACUUAAGC